rnacentral:tRNA from 1 species
ACAACAGUGGCUCAGUGGUAGAAUUCUCGCCUUCCAUGCAGGAGACCCAGGUUCAAAUCCUGGCCAGUGCA